AUCUUCGGGGGCGCCAGAAGCUGCGGGCUGCCAGCCGCGCAGGGGCUGCGGCCCCAGGCCCCAGCGGUCCUGCCCCGGCCCUGCCAACAAGGGGCGGGCAGCAGAGGCAGCAGGAGGCCCGCGGGAGCGGCGGGCUUGGUGGGUCUCGGCCAAAGGCGUGGCCCCGCGCCCCCUGAGGAAACAAGCGCCUAAGUGGUCGCACGGGCAAAUAGCCGGUUCCUAGCGCCCUAACCAGCCUCCCAGGCCGAGCGACCCAAACAGUGCAGGCCUUAUCUAGGCCUCGGGCCCCGGAAGGCAGCCGAGAAGGGACAAAACGUCUCGCCUCAGUGUCGAAGGCCCGUAUUCCAACAACCGCGGGCCCCAAGCGUCGAGGUCUGGAGUCCGUGCGGCCUAAGGCAAACAGGCCAGCGUCCAAGCCCAAGAUGCCCAUCCCCAGGUGGGUCCACCCUCCUGAGCCGGCGAAAAGGCCCGGAAAAGACCGAUCCCAUACCGCACGCGGCCUGCCCUGAGUCACCAAGAGCGCCUUCGGGCGAGCGCCAUUCUCGGCCGGAGGCCACGCGAGCCACGCUGAUUUCCGAGCGCUGGUGCCCCAAAACUACCCCAUUGCAAGGAGCUGUUAGGGCUCUAGGGUAAUAGAUGGGAGCCCCAAAAGGCGCCUGGAGGCACCAGAGUCCAGCAGCGCUGCCUCAGCCGCUCGUCCGCGCCCUAGUGUCCUAUUUCUUUAAAAUAAAAGCUGCGAGCCCUACAAUUACUGGGAUUACAGUGAGCAGGUAUUGAUCUGCAGCCGGCAUUGUAGGAUCAAGCAGGCGGGCGGACGCAGACAUCGCUGCUUCCCACCCCCUUGCCGCCGCCUAGGCCUGCAAAACGCUAAAAAACCAUUUCUAAAUGUUUGAUUUCAAACGCACCAUCAACACCUGCUGCAAAACUGGGAGCUGUUUAUUUAUGGCUGCAAAUGUGUGCGUGCGAGAGAGAGGGAGAAUUGAUCUUUGCCUGGACUUAAAGAUGGAGCCGAAGGCGCUGGAGGGAAUUUGGGUUUACGCGCCUAGCUCAGACCGGGGCGCUGAAGGGGGCCGUUUGGCACGAAGCCCGAGGUCGCUCUUUUCCGCACCCCUCACCUCGCGACCUUUCAGGAAUCUGAGGGGUCCUGAAGCGGCCUGGCUGACCCACCUCCCCGGGGCCGAGCUUCGAGAAAGGCUUCAUGGAGGGAGCCAUCCCGUCCCUGUCUUUAAAAUGAGCGCAAUAAAAGGGGGCAAAUCCUCAAACGUGAACCUGAUCACUUGUCACAGAAGCAACUUGCCAUGAAAUCCGCUAAUGCGCCGCGACUCGCCCACCCGGAUAGAUAACCCCCGCAGUGGUGUAACCAGCGCGCGCGCCCAAAGCCGUCUUGUCCCUCGAAUGCGCUCACCGCCGGCAACACUUGGAGAAUCCAGCCCACAGUGGUUUCGAAAACCCCAUUUUCCUGAUUGCAGCUCAGACUGUGGAACCCCGAGAGCCUCCCCAAAGAGGGAGCGUGAAUCGGGCCAAGUAGUGGGUCGGGGACACACACGCACGCACGCACGCAUAUGCACACAGAGGCAGAGCAGUGCUUCAUAGGACCUAAGAUCCAGGGUGGCUGGAAAGGGAUCUGGGAGGCCACGUCUGAAGGAGCCAGCAAGGCCCUGGUGCUGCCUCUGCCAGAGUCGUGCAGCCACUGAAGCAGCCUGAUCCUGAUAGUUAUUUUGGGGGGAAAAACACCUGGAACCCAGGUUUGAGCUAAAGAAAGUAAGGGCAAGUGACAGAUGAUCAAGCAUUUCUUUGAAAUGAGGAAGAACUGAGAACUACCCAGCUGGCCUGGCCUUAGGGCAAACUGGACCUUAGGAAACUACUCUCUUCGCACACACAGCAGCACACAUCCUCCGAUGGCAAGUUCACCGGUGCCCAGCAAGGGCCACUGCACCUCCUAACUGCUUUUUCAGCCUCCUCCAGGUUUUGCCAGGCAAAUGAAACAAGAACUCAAUAGUAAAUUAUUUUGUUCAGACUUCUGUCUUUUUAUGAAAAUAAAAGGCAACACUUUGUCAUUUUUAAUCAUAUAAGCAGACAAUAAACCUAAUCUUGAUAUUGAUUUUUCCAGAAUCAAGUGAUUUUGUGCAGUGUCUGUUUUAUUUCCUUUCUGAGGAAGAGCUGUUUGUUGGUAGAUGGUGUGGCUCUAAGACUGCACUCCAGUGGGCAGGUGCUUAUCUGAAACAUGUAGCUGAUUGUGGACUUUGAAGCGAGAUAGCUAAAAUGGGGUUCUGCCUGGGUGGCAGGAAGUUUGGUUUUUGUCUAGUUAUUGAGAUAAUGGUUUCAACCUCUGGUGCACUAGGAUAGAUUUAAGACUCAGCUAGUGCUUUUAGAAGUUAUGGCCUCAG
ensembl:lncRNA